GAUUUGCUGUCUCCCAGAUCCCAACUGUGCGCCCUCCGCCAUGGCUAACCUGGUGAUGAACUUCUUCCGGUUUACCUUAACUGGUCCUUCGGUCCAUGGCCAUGCAGUACCCUGAACCUUUCUGGCUUUGCAAGACUUGUCAAAUGUUUCCCACCCGAUGGCAAUGUCCCUGUGAAGCAGCUUGCGACUUGGGAGUGAUGAACCUCCCCCACUGAAACAAGAAGAUGGAACGUUAUUGGUCAGCUUCUCUCAAUUUCACCAAGCCAUAAUUAGAAUGGCCAUGUCUUUAUGGCUGAUGAGGAUAAAGCCCAAAGAGGAAAGAUCAUGUCAAGACUCUUCAAGUCUACUCCUGAAGGUGUGAGGAAAACUCAUCAAAAUGAUCCGACUAAGGUCCAGAGGAGUUUCCUAGGAGCCUAGAUUUGGAGCUAGAAGAGGACCUCAGUGAUCAUUGAGUCUACAGAUGAGGAAACCGAGGCCCAGAGGUCAAGGACUUGCGCAGGGACACACAGCUGGUCUGUGGUGGGAUUUGAAUUUAGGGCUUCCUGACUCCAAACAAGCCUUGUAGCCACAUUGCCUCUCAGUUUUGAUUUUCAUGGGCGGAUGGGUCCUUGCCCUGACAGAAUCAUGGGUCACUGAGUAGUGAAAAUAUUUUAGUUUUAGGGUUUUGUUUUGGUUUUUUUGGCUAGGCAAUGGGGUUAAGUGACUUGCCCUG